UACGUAGGGGGCAAGCGUUAUCCGGAUUUACUGGGUGUAAAGGGAGCGUAGACGGCGAUGCAAGUCUGAAGUGAAAGGCGGGGGCCCAACCCCCGGACUGCUUUGGAAACUGUAUAGCUGGAGUGCAGGAGAGGUAAGUGGAAUUCCUAGUGUAGCGGUGGAAUGCGUAGAUAUUAGGAGGAACACCAGAGGCGAAGGCGGCUAACUGGACUGCAACUGACGCUGAGGCACGAAAGCGUGGGUAUCGAACAGG
rnacentral:rRNA from 1 species